AGGUACUACUUGUGCUUAAAUGCAUGGUUUCUUCAUUUAGUUCAUCAUGCCAUAAAGUUAUAAACAAAAAUCAAGAUCAGGUUAACUGUCUUCUCUUUUGAAUAUAGUGGCGGCGCAUUUUGGAAGCAAAAUUCUCGAGAGCGAGAGAGAAAGAAACAGAAAAAACAGAGGAAUCCAGAGACCUGCUUCAGCUUUCUCCUCCUUUCUCCAACGGGCUUCAACCCACUCAGCCAAACCUGGAAGAUCCAAACCUCCAUCACCAUGCAUGCAGCUCCGGUAAUCUGAAAAAAACCGAGAACAUAAAGGCUGUCUUGCUGAUGAUGAAAUGUCUGGAAUGAUGCUGUGAAGAGC